UCAAGCAAAACAAGUGUUUUAUGUCACUGAUCCCGCUAACAAAAGAUGGUCAGUGGUUCUCCAAGGCAGAACCAUACAUUAUACUGAUUACAUUGAUGAAUUGAUACUUGAUAUUAGCGAAACUCCAUCCUUCUCAUCAAAUAUGCCGACCUUGAAUGUCGACAAUGAAGUAGAUGAUGUUCAUGUCGUACGUGAUGACCACAAUGAAGGGUUAUGGGAGAACAUUCUAACUUGACCCAUUUAUUUAUGUGCUCAUAAACUUGUGUGUGGCUUUUCUUCACGCUCUUCAUCUUUCUCAGUUCAAGUUAAUUGGUGGGUAGGUUCAAAGUUUUGAUCUGAAGCCAUUACAAACAAGAUAACCUAAUAUCCAUUGCUUUCAGGGAAAUGCCCGGUGACACACCAUUUGGUGACCUUCCACCUUCAUAAGGUGGGGACAAGAUUCAUACAUGUACCAAAAAAAAUGGUAGGCGUGGAACUAGGUUGAGGGAGUUAACAGUCAGUCGUAGUGCGGAUCAAAGAUUGCCUAUCCAAUUUGAUAUGCAAACUGGUAAAGCUUUGGGAGAUAAUAGCACAAAAUUCACCAGCUAUGUGGCCUUGCUUGGUAGGAGCAAGUCAUCCAUUCUUAUAGAUGAUUGGGACCAUGUUCCAGAGACAGUAAAGAAUCAGAUUUGGCUAAGUGUCCAAGUCACAUAUGAUGUCCCAAAUAGUAAUCUGUUGAGGACGAAAUGGAUUUCAUUUGCUGGGGAACGAUGGAAGGGUUUUAAGACGGACCUUACAAGUCGUUAUAUCUAUGGUCCCUUAAGUGAUAAAAACCCUUGUGAGAAGUAUCCGUUCCUUGAUGAAGACACAUGGCAGGCUUUUAAGGAAAGG